rnacentral:rRNA from 1 species
GACGAACGCUGGCGGCGUGCUUAACACAUGCAAGUCGUACGGUAAGGCCCUUUCGGGGGUACACGAGUGGCGAACGGGUGAGUAACACGUGAGUAACCUGCCCACAACUUUGGGAUAACGCUAGGAAACUGGUGCUAAUACUGGAUAUGUUCUCCUGCUGCAUGGUGGGGGUUGGAAAGCUCCGGCGGUUGUGGAUGGACUCGCGGCCUAUCAGCUUGUUGGUGGGGUAGUGGCCUACCAAGGCGGCGACGGGUAGCCGGCCUGAGAGGGUGACCGGCCACAUUGGGACUGAGAGACGGCCCAGACUCCUACGGGAGGCAGCAGGGGGGAAUAGUGCACAAUGGGCGCAAGCCUGAUGCAGCAACGCCGCGUGCGGGAUGACGGCCUUCGGGUUGUAAACCGCUUUCAGCAGGGACGAAGCUUUUUGUGACGGUACCUGCAGAAGAAGCACCGGCUAACUACGUG